rnacentral:rRNA from 1 species
AACGAACGCUGGCGGCGUGCCUAACACAUGCAAGUCGGACGCGAAAGGGGGCAACCCCCGGUAGCGUGGCAGACGGGUGAGUAACACGUGGGUAACCUACCCGGAGGUGGGGGAUAACCCUUCGAAAGGAGGGCUAAUACCGCAUGACAUCGCGGGGAUCUCGAUCCCUGCGAUCAAAGCUGGCCUCUGUUUACAAGCUAGCGCCACCGGAGGGGCCCGCGCCCCAUUAGCUAGUUGGUGAGGUAACGGCUCACCAAGGCGACGAUGGGUAGCCGGCCUGAGAGGGCGACCGGCCACACUGGAACUGGGACACGGUCCAGACUCCUACGGGAGGCAGCAGUGGGGAAUUUUGGACAAUGGGCGCAAGCCUGAUCCAGCAAUGCCGCGUGCAGGAUGAAGGCCUUCGGGUUGUAAACUGCUUUUGUACGGAACGAAAAGCCCUGGGUUAAUACCCUGGGGUCAUGACGGUACCGUAAGAAUAAGCACCGGCUAACUACGUGCCAGCAGCCGCGGUAACAC